AGAGGUGAAACUACGGGCCCUGGACACUAGAUGACCUCUUGAGAACUGGCAGGUCUUCAGAAGAGGAGCUCCCUCCCUAGGCAUGGGAACUGGACUUGGGUGGAAUUGUUUCUUGGUCUGUCAAUGGUGCUUUAUCUGGGUGAAGACAUUGGUUCAUGUCCUCAGGAAAAGCUCGCACCACACCAUGUACUUUGGUGCCUCCUAGUUACUUUUAUAUUGCUUGACAAAACACUAUGACCAAAGCAACGAAUAAAAGAAAACGUUUAACUGGCUUAUGGUCCCAGAGGAUUGGAGUCCAUGAUGGCGGAGGAAAGUUUCAGAGGGUUGGAGUCCAUGAUUGUACAGCAAAGGCCGGGCAGCAGGAACAGCUGAGUGCUCACAUCUGGAUCUACAAGCAGGAGGCAGAGAGAAAAAGCACACUGGGAACCUGGGUUUGGAAAGACGUUUCAGUGACACAGACUGGCUGUCGAAUGAAUCCCUCCAUCCUGACUUCUCGUGUUCACAUGCUGACUCCUGGGCAGGCCAUCUUCUCCACCCGACACCUGAGGCUUAUGAUUCCUCAGCAUAGAGGACAAAGUGAAGUUGCUCCACUUGUUUCCAAACCACAGCAAACACGGAGGAAGGCCCUGGCACUCCAUAUUUCAUACCUUCUUCCAG